UUCGGAUCCCAGGCGUGCACCGAUGCUCUGCUUGUCAAGCCAUGCUGUGGCGGCAUCCCACACACAAUAUACAGGAAGAUUGGCACAGAUGAUAGUUCAGGGCUAAUCUUCCUCAAGCAAAAAAAA